UACGUAGGUGGCAAGCGUUGUCCGGAAUUACUGGGUGUAAAGGGAGCGCAGGCGGGGGAGCAAGUCAGCUGUGAAAUCCAUGGGCUUAACCCGUGAACUGCAGUUGAAACUGUUCUUCUUGAGUGAAGUAGAGGUUGGCGGAAUUCCGAGUGUAGCGGUGAAAUGCGUAGAUAUUCGGAGGAACACCGGUGGCGAAGGCGGCCAACUGGGCUUUUACUGACGCUGAGGCUCGAAAGUGUGGGGAGCAAAC
rnacentral:rRNA from 1 species